ensembl:snoRNA SNORA70 Small nucleolar RNA SNORA70
CUGCAGCCAACUAAGCAAGUCUACCAGGUUUCUUUCCGCAUGGGGUCUGGUGUGCAAUAGCUGCAGACAGCAGCCUCCUUUGUUUGUGUUGUAACCUGUUGCUUGAACAGGUGGCCCUAAGGACCUUGGAGACAGUU